CCAGAGAAGAAGUCCUGACGGUAUCUGGGGAAUAAGCAUCGGCUAACUCUGUGCCAGCAGCCGCGGUAAGACAGAGGAUGCAAGCGUUAUCCGGAAUGAUUGGGCGUAAAGCGUCUGUAGGUGGCUUCUUAAGUCCGCUGUCAAAUCCCAGGGCUUAACCCUGGCCAGGCGGUGGGGACUACUAAGCUUGAGUACGGUAGGGGCAGAGGGAAUUUCCGGUGGAGCGGUGAAAUGCGUAGAGAUCGG
rnacentral:rRNA from 1 species